rnacentral:rRNA from 1 species
UAACGCGUAGGCAACCUGCCCUUUAGACGGGGACAACAUUCCGAAAGGAGUGCUAAUACCGGAUGUGAUCAUCGUGCCGCAUGGCAGGAUGAAGAAAGAUGGCCUCUACAAGUAAGCUAUCGCUAAAGGAUGGGCCUGCGUCUGAUUAGCUAGUUGGUAGUGUAACGGACUACCAAGGCGAUGAUCAGUAGCCGGUCUGAGAGGAUGAACGGCCACAUUGGGACUGAGACACGGCCCAAACUCCUACGGGAGGCAGCAGUGGGGAAUCUUCCGCAAUGGACGAAAGUCUGACGGAGCAACGCCGCGUGAGUGAUGAAGGAUUUCGGUCUGUAAAGCUCUGUUGUUUAUGACGAACGUGCAGUGUGUGAACAAUGCAUUGCAAUGACGGUAGUAAACGAGGAAGCCACGGCUAACUACGUGCCAGCAGCCGCGGUAAUACGUAGGUGGCGAGCGUUGUCCGGAAUUAUUGGGCGUAAAGAGCAUGUAGGCGGCUUAAUAAGUCGAGCGUGAAAAUGCGGGGCUCAACCCCGUAUGGCGCUGGAAACUGUUAGGCUUGAGUGCAGGAGAGGAAAGGGGAAUUCCCAGUGUAGCGGUGAAAUGCGUAGAUAUUGGGAGGAACACCAGUGGCGAAGGCGCCUUUCUGGACUGUGUCUGACGCUGAGAUGCGAAAGCCAGGGUAGC